UAAUAAGUGUUUUAUGGCACUUUUUAAAUCCAUAUCCACCUUGUGUGCAAUGUCAGUCGAUCUUCUUAUUUGAGGAUCGACCAAACAUCAACCUUUAUUUUUAACACUUUGUCUGAAAAAUAUUAUGAAUAAACAAUUCAAAAUA
rnacentral:misc_RNA from 1 species